UGUUCAUUUAGAGUUUGUUGUGUUCAGAGUCAGAGAGCCGUGUCUCUACAGUCAGAGGUUUUUGUACGACGACUCAACCAGUUUGUAUCACUGUGGUUGACUUUUGGUGGAGGAACCAGGCUGGAUGUUGGAAGUGAUACCCGCCCCACCCUGACAGUGCUGCCCCCCUCCAGUGUGGAGCUGCAGCAGCAGCAGGUUACCCUCAUGUGUCUGGCCAACAAGGGCUUCCCCUCAGACUGGACUCUGUCCUGGAAGCUGGACGGCAGCAGCAGCAGCAGCAGCUGGGAGCAGAGCAGGAGCUCCGGGGUGGUGCAGAAUGACGGCCUCUACAGCUGGAGCAGCACCCUGAGGAUCCCUGCAGACCAGUGGAGGAAGGUGGGCUCUGUGACCUGUGAGGCCUCCCAGGGCUCCCAGUCUGCAGUCACAGAGACACUGAGGAGAGACCAGUGUUCCCAGUCCUGACCUGACUCUCUGAGACUCUGAUACUGGAUUUUAAUCUGUCACUGCUCUCACCCUUUCUUUGCUGAUUAUUCUCUAUUUUCACUGAGUCAUGUUUGCUUGUCAUGUUGGUCACUGUUCAGAAAAUAAAUAUUUACUCAUCAA